UCCCAUUGAAGAAGAAUUCCCAUAGAUAGGAAGUGCCGUAUGACACUUUAUCAGCAGCAACAAC
rnacentral:snoRNA from 1 species